GACGAACCACACAAACGUUAUUCGGAAUUACUGGGCUUAAAGGGUGCGUAGGCGGCGCGGCAAGUUGGGUGUGAAAUCCCUCGGCUCAACCGAGGAACUGCCCUCAAUACUACCGUGCUCGAGGGAGACAGAGGUGAGCGGAACUUAGGGUGGAGCGGUGAAAUGCGUUGAUAUCCUAAGGAACACCCGUGGCGAAAGCGGCUCACUGGGUCUCUUCUGACGCUGAGGCACGAAAGCUAGGGUAGCGAACGGG
rnacentral:rRNA from 1 species